rnacentral:tRNA from 1 species
GGAAGGGUCGCUCAGCGGUAGAGCAUCGCGGUGCCAGCUGACCCUGGCCCGCGACGGCAGCACAUGCCUCGUGGCGUUCAAAUCCCACCCCUUCCG